AAAAGACGUCACAGCUCCGCGGAUGCACGUUCAGGUCAUUCUGCGCAGACUCUGCGCCUUCGUGUCACAUGAUUCAAAACGAAGGGAGAACAUGCCUGCUGAGGUGGUACGGAACGCCGCCAUGUGGAGAUUUGAAACUCCCCGCUUUUUGGUCAUGCUGGUGAGCAUCCAUUCGUUUUCAGAAACUUCACUGGAGGACAGUAGUGAGUGACCAACCCUCCACAACCAACUUGCCAGUCUGUGAGAUCUGUACACAAGGUAUCCAUCGAGUCCCCCUGCCUCCCACCGUCCUCUUCAGUGCCAUGACAGGUAGGACCGAUGAUGUAGCGGUAGUCUCCACCGACAGCCAGAGCUGCCCCAGAAGACACCAUGAGCCAGUCUUUCUCAUCCUCCUCCAUCCCCACACACUGCCAGGGCAUUCCUGACCAGAAGGGGUCCUUCCUUGGGCCCAGUGCCCCUGCCCCCUGCUCCCCCUUGUCAUUCUCCAGGUUAACGUAGAGAAGGGCCUCCUUAAUGCAGCUAGGCACUGGGGAUAGGCUGGCCCACAGCCCCUCCAGCUGGUCAAUCAGGUGCAGGAAACUGGGGCGGCACUUGGGAACAGGGCUCCAGCAGCUAUGCAUGAUCUCAUAACUGGGAAAAGAGAGGGAGAGGACUUGAACUGUCAGGUCGUUCUUGUAAAGUAAUGUGUUCUCAAUGUGUUACCUGGUUAAAUAGGCAGUAAAAUAUACAAACUCAUGAUUAAAUCAUUUUCAUUAAUCUGGCCCCAAUGAUGAUAGAUUGUUUUAGUCAUUUUAAAAGUAUAGCACUGAUCCCAUCAGUUCUGAUGAAGGCCUUGCAGGCUGAUUUUCAACGCCAGAGAAUUUUCUAUCAGACCCAGUGGACGACUCACAUGUCGUCUCGGCAGUCAGGUGGCUGUUUGAGCCUCUCUCCCUUGAUGAGGUACUCGUAGAUUUCGGAGUUCUCCACCCCGGGAUAAGGGGUCUGUCCCCGUGCCAUGAUCUCCCACAUGGUGACUCCAAACGCCCACUGUGGGGAAAACAGAGUCAGUCAAUUAACUUCCGGGGCCACUAAAAAGGCAAAAAUAAGGAAUUGACAGUUCCAAAAACAUAAUCAACAUAUCUAUUAAACAGGGACUCAGUCAGUGAACUUCUGUGGCCACUACAUCGUUUAAAAAUUCGAAAAUUAAAUUGAUUGGUCUGGAAACAAAAUCAACAUCUUAUCCACGAUGCAUUGAAUUGCAUUACAAAACACAAAUGUAAUCCUUUUCACAAAGAGGAUUUCAAGAUGGGGAUCCCGAACUGAAAUAUUCCCGCCCUACAGUGUCACCAUCAUUUAGAAAGUGAAGAUACGAGUUUGUGUGUACUGUGACCACUAUGAGGGUGCUUCCAUCUUUGUAUAUACCACAUCACUCUGAGUAGUGUAGACAUUGUCAGCAAGGCUCUCCAGUGCUAUCCACUUGACAGGCAGCUUUGAGACAGAUCCUUGUCUGUAGUAGUCGCCACUGUAGAUUUUCUUUGACAGCCCAAAGUCUGCCACGCAGACUGUCAGGUUUUCACUAAGCCUAUGAACAAAGGAGAGGAGAUGGUCACAAUCUAACCCACAGGCAAGAUAACGCUCUAGUAAAUUCAGUGUAAACUAUAUCAGAGGGAGUCCCAGUUAGGAAAGAGUAAAGUGACGGGUUGCUGUCUCAAAUGUUGCCAUAUUCCCCAUUUAGUACACUAGUUUUGACCAGGGCCCUACAGAGAAUAGGGUGCCAUUUGGGACAAAGCCACAGUCUGCUGUGCUCGUAGAUUCUCACAUGCAGUUGCGCGCAGCCAGAUCUCUGUGUAUGAUGCUUUUGUUGCUCAGGUACGCCAUUCCACGAGCGAUGUCCAACAUGAACUGUAUGAGCAUCUGCAGUGACACGGUCUGUGUAAGGGAGAGACAGCAACAUUUUGCUAAAACAUGAUUUGAACCUAUACAAAAAGUCUACUAUGAAAAUAAAUAAUAAUUUGGGCCCACAGGUCAACCUUGUCUUUCCUCUAGUUCCAUAACAUGAAAUAAAGAAAUUAUUUAAAACA